GCUCAGAAACUUAAAGGAAUUGACGGGGCCCGCACAAGCGGAGGAGCAUGUGGUUUAAUUCGAUGAUACGCGAGGAACCUUACCUGGGCUCGAACGUAAGAUGACUGUAGGUGAAAGCUUACAUCUCUUCGGAGCAUUUUACGAGGUGCUGCAUGGUUGUCGUCAGCUCGUGCCGUGAGGUGUCGGGUUAAGUCCCAUAACGAGCGCAACCCUACCUUUAGUUGCCAUCAGGUAAUGCUGGGGACUCUAAAGGAACUGCCUACGCAAGUAGUGAGGAAGGCGGGGAUGACGUCAAAUCAGCACGGCCCUUACGUCCAGGGCUACACACGUGCUACAAUGGCCGAUACAGAGGGCAGCUACCUGGUGACAGGAUGCAAAUCUCCAAAGUCGGUCUCAGUUCGGAUCGGAGUCUGCAACCCGACUCCGUGAAGUUGGAUUCGCUAGUAAUCGCGCAUCAGCCAUGGCGCGGUGAAUACGUUCCCGGGCCUU
rnacentral:rRNA from 1 species